AGAGUCUGUCGGUAUUCUUCAUGGUACACAUAUUUUGACAAGCUUGUUUCUUGUACAGCUCCAUUUGGAAUUGUGAAUUCAUCUAUCUGAAAGGAGAUUCAUGAAAUGCAUAAUCAAUCAUUUUUCAAAUACAUGGAGAAAAUAUUGGUAAUUCCUUCAAAUGAGAUACAUUCUGUGUCUUUUUCAUUCUUUGGCUUGGUGUUGAACAUUUGAACUCCUUGGGAUUACUUUGUAGAAGUAACAGAAAUGCCUGGCAUCUGCAUACAAAGGAUACCAGGUA